GAGUUUGAUCAUGGCUCAGAGCGAACGCUGGCGGCAGGCUUAACACAUGCAAGUCGAGCGCCUGUAGCAAUACAGGAGCGGCAGACGGGUGAGUAACGCGUGGGAACGUACCCUUUGGUUCGGAACAACACAGGGAAACUUGUGCUAAUACCGGAUAAGCCCUUACGGGGAAAGAUUUAUCGCCGAAGGAUCGGCCCGCGUCUGAUUAGCUUGUUGGUGAGGUAACGGCUCACCAAGGCUACGAUCAGUAGCUGGUCUGAGAGGAUGAUCAGCCACACUGGGACUGAGACACGGCCCAGACUCCUACGGGAGGCAGCAGUGGGGAAUAUUGGACAAUGGGCGCAAGCCUGAUCCAGCCAUGCCGCGUGAGUGAUGAAGGCCCUAGGGUUGUAAAGCUCUUUCGGCGGGGAAGAUAAUGACGGUACCCGCAUAAGAAGCCCCGGCUAACUUCGUGCCAGCAGCCGCUGUAAU
rnacentral:rRNA from 1 species